UCCCGCUGCCCUUCUUGGGCGUUUCCUCCCUAGACUUCGGGCCGCUCCUUCGGGAGUGGCCUUUUUUGUUUGCGCCGA
rnacentral:sRNA from 1 species